GGGGUGUGGGAGGUGUCCCUCAGCCAGGAUUGUGAGAGGGCGUAAGCCAGCCUGAGGAACCCCACCAGUGCAUG
rnacentral:pre_miRNA from 1 species